rnacentral:rRNA from 1 species
CCUACGGGUGGCAGCAGUAGGGAAUAUUGCUCAAUGGGGGAAACCCUGAAGCAGCAACGCCGCGUGGAGGAUGAAGGUUUUAGGAUUGUAAACUCCUUUUGUUAGAGAAGAUUAUGACGGUAUCUAUCGACUAAUCACCGGCUAACUCCGUGCCAGCAGCCGCGGUCAUACGGAGGGUGCAAGCGUUACUCGGAAUCACUGGGCGUAAAGAGUGCGUAGGCGGGGUAAUAAGUCAGAUGUGAAAUCCUGUGGCUUAACUACAGAACUGCAUUUGAAACUGUUACUCUGGAGUGUGGGAGAGGUAGGUAGAAUUCUUGGUGUAGGGGUAAAAUCCGUAGAGAUCAAGAGGAAUACUCAUUGCGAAGGCGACCUGCUGGAACAUGACUGACGCUGAUGCACGAAAGCGUGGGGAGCAAACAGGAUUAGAUACCCUAGUAGUC